CUUCCCGUGGAUUUUCUGCUGUGCUCUCAGCGACGUGAGCAGUUAUACAUGCAUGGGAUGAAGUGGCAGUGCGCCAUUGUAAACUGAGGUGAGCUAAUAACCAGUUCGUGUCUUCUGCAUGGACUAGACACUG
rnacentral:snoRNA from 1 species